AACAUACAUGUAGACAGCAAAUU
rnacentral:piRNA from 1 species